UACGGGGGGGCAAGCGUUGUUCGGAAUUACUGGGCGUAAAGGGCGCGUAGGCGGUUUGCUAAGUUGGAUGUGAAAACUCUGGGCUUAACCCAGAGCCUGCAUCCAAAACUGGCAAACUUGAGUACUGGAGGGGAAAGCGGAAUUCCUGGUGUAGCGGUGAAAUGACGUAGAUAUCAGGAGGAACACCGGUGGCGAAGGCGGCUUUCUGGACAGUAACUGACGCUGAGGCGCGAAAGCUAGGGGAGCAAACAGG
rnacentral:rRNA from 1 species